CGUGACCUGCACGACGAACGAGGAGCGAUCCUCGGCUUCUUGCUUCAGUGAUUGAAAGACGUGAACAGUGAGAUCAAUCAGUGAUGACUGGAAAGUGUGUGAAGAAAAUUGUACGGACACAUCGCAAGAUGGUGACUUGAAUACUUGAGACUUGAUCGGGGUGAUCGCGGAUGCUGGGAAGGCGAUGAGGAAGAUCUGGACAAGACCGGCUGGCACCUAGUCAUGGAUUGCGAAGGCGGCGGCGGCGCAGGAGCAGCAGCAGCAGGAGCAGCGGCAUCAGGAGUUGGAGGUUGUCGAUGGCCAAGUGGCCAAGUACCCAGCGACUUGGAUCGCCAGAAGUUGCCGACUCACAAUGUGUGUGCGCAAAGGCUUUAAGAAACGCCGAAUUCCAGAAGCUGCAGUACAAUCAGUUGAAUUAAAAAACGAGCGCACAGACA